AUUAAACAAAGGUCUGUCCACAACUUAAAAAAAAAAAACAUACACACAGGAAGAAAGCAGAGGGGACCCAACAGCCCCCUGGACACGGCGGGGCUGAGACCCGGGAGCCGUGCUCGGCCGCCCAGCGGGCACUCUGUUAUCCGUUUGAAGGCUGUGGACCCCCUCGCUGUUCCUCUGUGUCAGCACGGGUCUGAGUGGACGAUACCUGAGGCUGGCAUGGAGACCUCCACAGCAGGCUCUCGUCCUGCCUGCCGCUGCUCUCCCAGGCUCCGCGUGCUGCACGUCCCCACUGAGCUGCACGGGCAGGUGCAGGCGAGGCUGUGCAGUGGGCCUGUGCGACGGCCCCUCCAACAGAAGCGCCUCCUCGCCCGUGGGCUCUCCUUGCCGGGCUCUCCUCCUGGGCCACUUCUCCCGAGAGACCCUGACCUCCUCUCUGUCCCGGGAGCACUGCUGGAUGGCCACAGGCCCUGGACAGUGGCGGCCAUGGCCUCUCUCAUCCCCGGUGGCUCCUGUGGGCCGCCACUGCCCUUUUCUUUGGUCUCUCUGCUGACUCUGGUCUGGGUUUACUUGCGCUUUCUGUCGGACAGGCAUUCGCUCAGCACCGCAGCGGACCCUGGCUCUCCCGCUCUCGCUCCUCUGCGGUGACUGACCGUGCACGGCACGUGGACCACUGUGGAGUGUCCAGGUCAGUGUGUCAGGAACACCAGCGAUGCCCCAGAGCCACACCACUGCCCCUCGGUGGCUGAGGAGCAGGGUCCCGGCCAAACUCUGGAGACGCUCCUGUCCCUUAGCCAGAGUGAGAUUGCAGACAGCUCGCACCACCUCCUCCCUGUACCUGUCAUCUUCAGAUGUCCGCAAGGGCCAGCAGGGUGUCAUGUGACGUGGACGUCAAGCCGUACUGCCGGGCAAGGACAGCAGGAAGAGUGAGUCCAUGCCUGCCGAGUGCAGACGCAGCCCUCGUGGGCCUCAACAGACAGCGCGAGAACACGUCUGGGGACAGCUGGGGCCUGUGGACUCAUGAAGGUUGCAGCAGGGCUGCCUUCUCAUCACAGGGCUCAGUGUGUGGCUAAUUUAAGUUUUGCUUUUCCAGAGCUUUCUGUAUGGCUUUCUACUGUCUUCAGUGUGCAGCUGGUAGGGUGUGUGGCAACAGGGCCACAGAGAUGAGCGCCACCUUGCUGCCCUUGCAUGCUGUCCGGUGCCAGCCCAGUGGCCUGUGUCAGAAUCACCUUCCUUUUCAAGGCUGAGUAGUAUUCUGUGGUAUGGGCAGAUCUGCUUUUGUGCAUUGAACCUGAAGUCAGUGGUCACUUGGGCUGGUUCCCAGCUGCACUGCCGUGCAUAGCCCUACUGUGUGCUGUGUGCCCAUGUCUGCUUGAGUCUCUGUUCUUGGGCAUGGAGCUGCGAGAUGAUGUUGUCUUCAAGCCUACGUGCAGCUCCCCAUAGUAGUUGUGCUGCCCCCUGCGUGUCCUGGCCACCUUGCCAUGGACACUGUUAUAGACGUCGUCCUGACAGGCCCACCGUGGUUGGGUCUGCACUUCUCUAAUGACUUAUGGAGACCUUGCCCUUACGACCAGCUGGUCACCUUCUGGUGGUGCUGGAGUCCCCGACUCUGGGGGUGGCUCCCGCCCAGAUGCGUGACUUGAAACCUUUUCUCUUCUGUUCUUCCUCUCCAUCUCUGCCGCGCCUUUGGUGCCAGGAGGCUGUGGCUCUGAGGACCGCUCUGCUUCCCUCUGCGCCUGGUGUCCUCCCGCCGCCCCACGGCUUCUUCUGAGGGAGUGUUUGCUCCACGUUUUUGAGCUGCCUCACACCCUCCAAAGGUAGCUGCCCAGAGACGGUUGUGAGCACAGGUGUGGGCACGCGACCCGCAGCCAGGCACGUCGCUCCCGCACCCAGACGGGACAGUGGGUAGUGGGUGUCGGCAGGCUCCGCGUCCUUCCCCACCCUCCCUGGUCUGAGGGUGUUCCCCCCCCACUGCCUCCACUUUCUGCAUUUUUAGACCUGGAAUGGCCACCUCUCCUUUUACCAUGAAAUGUGUCUGGAAGCCCAAGGGGGGAGCUGCCCUGGCCACAGGGAUGGGUCUUGCUCCCAGGUCUGGGCAGAACUCUUUCAGACAAUAAGCUCCAGAAAUUCACCGGGAGCUCUUCUGCUCAGCCCUAGGCCUCCUCCGAAUGUCCCCCACUUAACCCCGUCCCUUCUCUUAGCUAAAACACCAGCAGGAUGCUCCGUGGUC
rnacentral:lncRNA from 1 species